AUUGAACGCUGGCGGCAGGCCUAACACAUGCAAGUCGAACGAGCGGCGGACGGGUGAGUAAUGUAUGGGAAACUGCCUGAUGGAGGGGGAUAACUACUGGAAACGGUAGCUAAUACCGCAUACCAUCAGAUGGGCCCAGAUGGGAUUAGCUAGUUGGGGGGGUAACGGCUCACCAAGGCGACGAUCCCUAGCUGGUCUGAGAGGAUGACCAGCCACACUGGGACUGAGACACGGCCCAGACUCCUACGUGAGGCAGCAGUGGGGAAUAUUGCACAAUGGGCGCAAGCCUGAUGCAGCCAUGCCGCGGUUAUGAAGAAGGUCUUCGGGUUGUAAAGUACUUUCAGUGGGGAGGCGUUACCGACAGAAGAAGCACCGGCUAACUCCGUGCCAGCAGCCGCGGUAAUAC
rnacentral:rRNA from 1 species